UGUGUGUGUGUGUGUGUGUGUGUGUGUGUGUGUGUGUGUGUGUGUGUGUGUGUUCGCAGCUUCAUCAGCUUUGCUCGGCAAAUAGAAGCGGAGUUCUCCUUUUUUUCUGUAGCACAAAAAACUAACAGGAAACAUGUCAAAGAGGGUCGGAUCAUCGGUAAAGCCUGUUGAUGAACAGCCUGAAAAAAAAAGU